AUUGAACGCUGGCGGCAUGCCUUACACAUGCAAGUCGAACGGCAGCACGGGAGCAAUCCUGGUGGCGAGUGGCGAACGGGUGAGUAAUAUAUCGGAACGUGCCCAGUAGUGGGGGAUAACUGCUCGAAAGAGCAGCUAAUACCGCAUACGACCUGAGGGUGAAAGGGGGGGAUCGCAAGACCUCUCGCUAUUGGAGCGGCCGAUAUCAGAUUAGCUAGUUGGUGGGGUAAAGGCCUACCAAGGCAACGAUCUGUAGUUGGUCUGAGAGGACGACCAGCCACACUGGGACUGAGACACGGCCCAGACUUCUACGGGAGGCAGCAGUGGGGAAUUUUGGACAAUGGGCGCAAGCCUGAUCCAGCAAUGCCGCGUGCAGGAAGAAGGCCUUCGGGUUGUAAACUGCUUUUGUCAGGGAAGAAAUCCUCUAGGUUAAUACCCUUGGGGGGAUGACGGUACCUGAAGAAUAAGCACCGGCUAACUACGUGCCAGCCGCCGCGGUAAGAC
rnacentral:rRNA from 1 species